rnacentral:rRNA from 1 species
UCGGGAAUUUUGCUCAAUGGACGAAAGUCUGAAGCAGCAACGCCGCGUGAGGGAUGAAGGCCUUCGGGUUGUAAACCUCUUUUAUCAGGGACGAUAAUGACGGUACCUGAUGAAUAAGUCACGGCUAACUACGUGCCAGCAGCCGCGGUAAUACGUAGGUGACUAGCGUUGUCCGGAUUUACUGGGCGUAAAGAGCGCGCAGGCGGUCGAUUUAGUCGAGUGUGAAAGCCCCCGGCUCAACUGGGGAGGGUCACUCGAUACUGAUCGACUCGAAGGCGGGAGAGGGAAGCGGAAUUCCCGGUGUAGUGGUGAAAUGCGUAGAUAUCGGGAGGAACACCAGUGGCGAAGGCGGCUUCCUGGCCCGUUCUUGACGCUGAGGCGCGAAAGCUAGGGGAGCAAACG